rnacentral:rRNA from 1 species
GACGAACGCUGGCGGCGUGCUUAACACAUGCAAGUCGAACGCUGAAGCCCAGCUUGCUGGGUGGCUGAGUGGCGAACGGGUGAGUAACACGUGAGUAACCUGCCCUCUUCUUUGGGAUAACGCCCGGUAACGGGUGCUAAUACUGGACAUUCACUGAUUCUCGCAUGGGGGUUGGUGGAAAGGUUUUUUCUGGUGGUGGAUGGGCUCGCGGCCUAUCAGCGUGUUGGUGGGGUGAUGGCCUAGCAAGGGUUUGACGGGUAGCCGGCGUGAGAGGGUGACCGGUCACAUAGGGACUGAGAUACGGCCCAGACUGAGACGGGAGGCAGCAGUGGGGGAGAGUGAGCAAUGGGCGAAAGCCUGAUGCAGCGACGAGGCGUGAGGGAUGGAGGCGUUCGGGUUGUAAACCUCUUUCGCUCAUGGUCAAGCCGCAGCUUGGGGUUGUGGUGAGGGUAGUGGGUAAAGAAGCGCCGGCUAACUACGU